rnacentral:rRNA from 1 species
GCCCGUUAAUGGGUGAUGGCGUGCCUUUUGUAGAAUGAACCGGCGAGUUACGAUUUGAUGCAAGGUUAAGCAGUAAAUGUGGAGCCGUAGCGAAAGCGAGUCUGAAUAGGGCGUUUAGUAUUUGGUCGUAGACCCGAAACCAGGUGAUCUACCCUUGGUCAGGUUGAAGUUCAGGUAACACUGAAUGGAGGACCGAACCGACUUACGUUGAAAAGUGAGCGGAUGAACUGAGGGUAGCGGAGAAAUUCCAAUCGAACCUGGAGAUAGCUGGUUCUCUCCGAAAUAGCUUUAGGGCUAGCCUCAAGUGAUGAUUAUUGGAGGUAGAGCACUGUUUGGACGAGGGGCCCCUCUCGGGUUACCGAAUUCAGACAAACUCCGAAUGCCAAUUAAUUUAACUUGGGAGUCAGAACAUGGGUGAUAAGGUCCGUGUUCGAAAGGGAAACAGCCCAGACCACCAGCUAAGGUCCCAAAAUAUAUGUUAAGUGGAAAAGGAUGUGGCGUUGCCCAGACAACUAGGAUGUUGGCUUAGAAGCAGCCAUCAUUUAAAGAGUGCGUAAUAGCUCACUAGUCGAGUGACACUGCGCCGAAAAUGUACCGGGGCUAAACAUAUUACCGAAGCUGUGGAUUGUCCUUUGGACAAUGGUAGGAGAGCGUUCUAAGGGCGUUGAAGCAUGAUCGUAAGGACAUGUGGAGCGCUUAGAAGUGAGAAUGCCGGUGUGAGUAGCGAAAGACGGGUGAGAAUCCCGUCCACCGAUUGACUAAGGUUUCCAGAGGAAGGCUCGUCCGCUCUGGGUUA